UCCCUGGUGGCUCAGAGGUUAAAGCGUCUGCCUGCAAUGCAGGUGACCUGGGUUCGAUCCCUGGGUCGGGAA
rnacentral:tRNA from 1 species